rnacentral:tRNA from 1 species
GGGGCUAUAGUUUAGCUUGGUAGAAUAUGGCUUUCGGGAGGCUAUGGCCGAGGUUCAAAUCCUCGUAGCCCCA